GUGUUGUAUGAAAGGAGAGAAGGUUAGCACUCCCUUGACAAGGAUGGAAGAGACUCUCGGCCUGACAACAGGCAUACGGUUAGGCAUUGCCACCUACUGUGGCAUCUAACCACUGUUUUAA
rnacentral:ncRNA from 1 species